rfam:Myotis brandtii contig282363, whole genome shotgun sequence.
CAAAAGGAUUUUUUAAAAUUCACCCUCUGUUCUCUGAAUUAUUUGU